rnacentral:rRNA from 1 species
AAUGAACGUUGGCGGCGUGGAUUAGGCAUGCAAGUCGAACGGGCCGCAAGGCCAGUGGCGGAAGGGUGAGUAAGGCGACGGUAACCAACCCCAUGGUUGGGUAUAGCCGCGGGAAACUGCGGGUAAUCCCCAGCGACGUCCGCGUCGGACAUCCGAUGCGGACCAAAGCCCUGGCGCCGUGGGACGGGCCGUCGUGGUAUUAGGUCGUUGGCGGGGUAACGGCCCACCAAGCCUAUGAUGCCUACCGGGCGUGCGAGCGCGACCCGGCACACUGGGA